AUUGAACGCUGGCGGCAGGCCUAACACAUGCAAGUCGAACGAGUGGCGGACGGGUGAGUAAUGCUUGGGAAACUGGCUGAUGGAGGGGGAUAACUACGGGCAACGGUAGCUAAUACCGAGUACCAUAGGAUGAGCCCAGGUGGGAGUAGGUUGGUGGUGGGGUAAAGGCUCACCAAGGCGACGAUCACUAGCUGGUCUGAGAGGAUGACCAGCCACACUGGAACUGAGACACUGUCCAGACUCCUACGGGAGGCAGCAGUGGGGAAUAUUGCACAAUGGGCGCAAGCCUGACGCAGCCAUGCCGCGUGUAUGAAGAAGGCCUUCGGGUUGUAAAGUACUUUCAGUUGGGAGGCGUUACCCACAGAAGAAGCACCGGCUAACUCCGUGCCAACCGCCGCGGUAAUAC
rnacentral:rRNA from 1 species